rnacentral:rRNA from 1 species
UACGUAGGGUGCGAGCGUUGUCCGGAAUUACUGGGCGUAAAGAGCUCGUAGGUGGUUUGUCGCGUUGUCCGUGAAAACUCACAACUCAAUUGUGGGCGUGCGGGCGAUACGGGCAGACUGGAGUACUGCAGGGGAGACUGGAAUUCCUGGUGUAGCGGUGGAAUGCGCAGAUAUCAGGAGGAACACCGGUGGCGAAGGCGGGUCUCGUGGGCCACUACUGACGCUGAGAAGCGAAAGCAUGGGGAGCGAACAGG